GUUAGAUGUAGCUUAAUGGUAGAGUAAAAGAAUGUGAAUCUUUUGGUUAUGGGUUCAAAUCCCAUCAUUUAAC
rnacentral:tRNA from 1 species